rnacentral:rRNA from 1 species
AACGAACGCUGGCGGCAGGCCUAACACAUGCAAGUCGAGCGCCCCGCCAGGGGAGCGGCGGACGGGUGAGUAACGCGUGGGAACGUACCCUUUGCUACGGAAUAGCCUCGGGAAACUGGGAGUAAUACCGUAUGUGUCCUUCGGGAGUAAGAUUUAGCGGCAAGGGGUGGGGCCGCGUAGGAUUAGGUAGUUGGUGGGGUAAUGGCGUACUAAGCCGACGAUCCAUAGCAGGUGUGAGAGGAUGAGCAGCCACACUGGGACUGAGACACGUGUCGGACUCAUACGGCAAGCGGCAGAAGGCAGACUCAGCCAAUGGGCGCGAGCCUGAUCGGCCUUCGCGUCGUGAGGGAUGAUGGCCUGAGGGUAGUAGAGGUCUUUUAGGAGGGAGGAUAAUGACCGUAACCCAAGAAGAAGGCCCCGGCAACCUCGGUG